rnacentral:rRNA from 1 species
UACGUAGGGGGCAAGCGUUGUCCGGAAUUAUUGGGCGUAAAGAGCGCGUAGGCGGUCCGAUAAGUCGGCUGUGAAAGUCAGGGGCUCAACCCUUGGAAGCCGGCCGAUACUGUCGGACUAGAGUCCGGAAGAGGCGAGUGGAAUUCCCGGUGUAGCGGUGAAAUGCGCAGAUAUCAGGAGGAACACCCGUGGCGAAAGCGGCUCUCUGGGACGGUACUGACGCUGAGACGCGAAAGCGUGGGGAGCAAACAGG